rnacentral:lncRNA from 1 species
UAAUGAUCAUUAUUGAAUGCCUCAUGGUGACUUGAAGAUGAAGGACAACAAUAAAAACAUUCCAUAUUUGGGUUUUAACACGUAUUGAUAUUAAAAUUGUCUCACGUACAGUUGCUCCAUAUCAUGUUCGACAAUCACUUUCAGUUUCUAAAACAUGUCACCUAUGAAAACUCUCGAGAUCGUUUACGAUGAAAGUAAAGAUAAUUAUCUUCAUUAUGAUUAUUUUUUCUAAAUGAUGUACAUGUAAUAAUAAAAAUAGAAUAUAAAACAACUAUUUUGAGGAAAAGAAACGUUAACUUUAAAUCAUUUCCCAUGUUCCGACCGUCGACGAUUUGUUGUAAGAACUUGUUACCUUGUUUAGAUUUCUAAAAAUAACCUGGUUUGAGGAAUACCCAAAUACGGGUCAUGCAUUGUGUGCAUUAUCAAACAAUGAACAUUCAUUGUAAUUAAGUUGGCAUCUUCUUCUUGUAUAAAUAAAUGAAAAAAAAAAAAUAUUUCAAUUACCUAAAAUCUUUAAUUUUCAUAUACCGCA